UCUACAACAACCACAACUGCUCCCACAUCAACACACCUUCUUCAACAACAACCACAGCUGCUCCCACAACAACCACAUCCUUCCCCACAACAACCACAGGUGCUCCCACAACAACCACAGCUGCUUCAACAGCAACCACAGAAUCUUCAACAACAACUACAGCUGCUCUUCCAACAACCACAGCUUCUCCCACAACAAACACAGCAGCUCCCACAACAACCACAGUUGCUCCCAAAACAACCACAGCUGCUCCCACAACAAUCCCAGCUGCUCCCACAACAACCACAGCUACUCUCACAACAACCACAGCUGCUCCCACAACAACCACAGCUGCUCCAACAACAACCACAGCUGCUCCAACAACAACCACAGCUGGUCCAACAACAACCACAGGUGCUCCCACAACAACCACAGCUUCUCCCACAACAACCACAGCUGCUCCACAACAACCACAGCUGUUCCCACAACAACCACAGCUGUUCCCACAACAACCACAGCUUCUCCAACAACAACCACAGAUACUUCAACAACAACCAUAACUGCUCCCACAUCAACCACACCUGCUCCAACAACAACCCCAGCUGCUCCCACAACAACCACAGCUGUUCCCACAACAACCACAGUCGCUACCACAACAACCACAGCUGCUCCCACAACAACCACAGCUGUUCCCACAACAACCACAGCUGCUCCCACAACAACCACAGCGGUUCCCACAACAACCACAGCUGCUCCAACAACAACCCCAGAUGUUCCAACAACAACCACAUCUGUUCCAACAACAACCAUAGCUUCUCCCACAACAACCAUACAAGCUCCAACGACAACUACAAUUGGGGCUACAAAACCACAGAUACUCCAACAACAACCACACCUGCUCCCACAUCAACCACACCUUCUCCAACAACAACCACAGCUGCUCCCAAAACAACCACAUCCUUCCCCACAACACCCACAUCUGCUCCCAAAGCAACCACAGCUGCUUCAACAGCAACCACAGAAUAUUCCACAACAACUACAGCUGCUCCGCCAACAACCACAGCUUCUCCCACAACAAACACACCGGCUCCCACAACAACCACAGAUGCUCCCAAAACAACCACAGCUGCUCCCACAACAACCACAGCUACUCUCACAACAGCCUCAUUUGUUCCCGCAACAACCACAGUUGCUCCCACAACAAACACAACCGCUCCCACAGCAACCACAGCUGCUUCAACAGCAACCACAGAAUCUUCCACAAUAACCACAUCUGCUCUCCCAACAACCACAGCUUCUCCGACAACAAACACAGCGGCUCCCACAACAACCACAUAUGCUCCCAAAACAACCACAGCUGCUCCCACAACAAACACAGCUAAUCCAACAAUAACACCAGCUGCUCCCAUAACAACCACAGCUGCUCUUACAGCAACCACAGCUACUCUCACAACAACCACAGCUACUCUCACAACAACCACAGCUGCUCCCACAACAACCACAGCUGCUCCAACAAGAACCACAGCUAAUCCCACAACCACGACAGCCACUUACACUUUAUCAUCAGGUGUUCCCACAACAACCACAGUUGCUCCCACAACAACCACAGCUGCUCCCACAACAAACACAGUGACUCCCACAACAACCACAGCUGCUCCCACAACAACCACAGCUGCUCCAAAAACAACCACAGCUGUUCCCAGAACAACCAUAGCUGCUACGACAACAACCCAAGAUGUUCAAACAACAACCACAGCUUCUCCCACAACAACCAUACAAGAUCCAACGACAACUACAAUUGGGGCUACAACAACCACAGAUACUCCAACAACAACAAAAUCUGCUCCCACAUCAACCACACCUUCUCCAACAACAACCACAGCUGCUCGCACAACAACCACAUCCUUCCCCACAGGACCCACAUCUGCUCCCACAACAACCACAGAAUCUCCCACAACAACCACAGUUGCUGCCACAACAACCACAGAAUCUCCCACAACAACCAGAGUCACGACUUCAAAAACCACAGAAUCUCCCACAGCAACCACAGCUGCUCCAACAACAACCACAGCUGCUCCCACAACAACUACAGCUGCUCUCACAACUACCACAUCUGCUCCCACAACAACCACAGCUGCUCUCACAGCAAACACAGCGGCUCCCACAACAACCACAGCUGAUCCCACAACAACCACAGCUGCUCCCACAACAACCACAGCUGUUCCCACACAAACCACAGCUGCUACGACAACAACUCCAGAUGUUCCAAAAACAACCACAUCUGCUCCGAAAACAACCACAGCUUUGCCCACAACCAACAUACAAGCUCCAACGACAACUACAUUUGGGGCUACAACAACCACAGAUGCUCCCACAACAAACACAGCGGCUCCCACAACAACCACAUAUGCUCCCAAAACAACCACAGCUGCUCCCACAACAACCACAGCUGCUCCCACAACAACCACAGCUGCUCCCACAACAACCACAGCUACUCUCACAACAACCACAGCUGCUCCCACAACAACCACAGCUGCUCCAACAACAACCACAGCUAAUCCCACAACCACGACAGCUACUUACACAACAUCAUCAGGUGUUCCCACAACAACCACAGCUGCUCCCACAACAACCACAGCUGCUCCCACAACAACCACAGUCGCUGCCACAACAACCAGAGCUGUUCCCACAACAACCACAGCUGCUCCAACAACAACCACAGCUGUUCCCAGAACAACCACAGCUGCUACGACAACAACCCAAGAUGUUCAAACAACAACCACAGCUUCUCCCACAACAACCAUACAAGCUCCAACGACAACUACAAUUGGGGCUACAACAACCACAGAUACUCCAACAACAACCAAAACUGCUCCCACAUCAACCACACCUUCUCCAACAACAACCACAGCUGCUCGCACAACAACCACAUCCUUCCCCACAUAUUCUUCCACAGCAACCACAGAAUCUCCCACAACAACCACAGUUGCUGCCACAACAACAACAGCUAUACCCACAACAACGCCACCUGCUCUGACAAAAACUCCAAAUGUUCCAACAACAACCAUAGCUGCUCAAAUGACCAUCACAGCUGCCUCCAUAUCAACGACAGCUGCUAUCCCAACAACAGCAGCCUCUCCCACAACAAACACAGCAUCUCCCACAACAACCACUGCUCCUCCCACAACAACCACAGCUGCUCCAACAACAACCACAGAAUCUCCCACAACAACCACAGUCACGACUUCAAAAACCACAGAAUCUCCCACAGCAACCACAGCUGCUCCCACAACAAGCACAGCUGCUCCCACAACCACAGCUGCUCUCACAACAACCACAUCUGCUCCCACAACAACCACAGCUGCUCUCACAACAACCACAGCUGCUCCAACAACAACCACAGCUAAUCCCACAACAAUGACAGCUACUUACACAACAUCCUCAGGUGUUCCAACAGCAACGACAUCUGCUCCAUCAAAAACCACAGAAUCUCCCACAACAACCACAGAUGCACCCACAACAACCAUAGCAUAUCCAACAACAACCCCACCUGCUCCCAUAACAACCACAGCUAUUCCUACAACAACGACAGCUACUUACACAACAUUCUCAGGUGUUCCCACAACAACCACAGUUGCUCCCACAACAACCACAGCUGCUCCCACAACAACCACCGCUGCUCCCACAACAACCACAGCUGUUCCCACACAAACCACAGCUGCUACGACAACAACUCCAGAUGUUCCAAAAACAACCACAUCUGCUCCAACAACAACCACAGCUUCUCCCACAACCACCAUACAAGCUCCAACGACAACUACAAUUGGGGCUACAACAACCACAGAUGCUCCCACAUCAACGACACCAUCUACAACAACAACCACAACUGCUCGCACAACAACCACAGCAGCUCCAAAGACAACUACAACUGAGGCUACAACAACCACAGAUACUCCAAUGACAACCACAGCUACUCCCACAACAACCACAGCUGCUCCAUCAACAACCACAGCUAAUCCCACAACAACAACAGCUAUUUACACAACAUCCUCAGGUGUUCCCACAUUAACCACACCUGCUUCAACAGCAAACACACAAACAAACACAGCUGCUCCAGCAACAACAACAUAUGCUCCCACAUCAACCACUUCUGCUCCCACAACAACCACAGCUGCUCCAGCAACAACAACAUAUGCUCCCACAACAACCACUUAUGCUCCCACAACAAGCACAGCUGCUCCAGCAACAACCACAGCCUCUCAAGCAACAACAACAUAUGCUGCCACAACAAGCACUUCUGCUCCAGCAACAACCACAGCUGCUCCCAAAACCACCACAGCUGCUGCCACAACAACCACAGCUGCUCCAAGAACAACAACAUCUGCUCUGACCACAGUUACAACAGGUUAUUCAACCACUACCACAACACCGGCCCCUCCACCACCAGAGGUGAAGUUGGAGUUCAAAUUGGAGCAAAACUUCACAGCAGAUUUGAAUAAUGUUUCUUCACCAGAGUUCAAAGAAUUAGCAAAUACUGUGUCUACAGCGCUGGAAAAUGUGUACAAAAGUAAAUAUGGAUCCAGUUUCAUUCGCAUAGAAGUUAUAGGUUUCAGUCAAGGUUCAAUUGUGGUAAUCACUAAGCUGGUAUUUAACGAUACCAGCGUAGUCCCUGCGAACAGUGAUGUGGCUGCCACGAUGACAGAGGCAGUUUCAAGCAACAGCUCUAAUUUCUCUCUCCCAGUGAACACAGCCUCCAUUGUGGCAACAAAGGUGAUUGUACCAACACCACCCCCAGCAGCCACAACUCCAACUUCAGCUGUGGAUACAACAACCACAGCUGCUCCUACAUCAACCACAGCAGUUCCACAAACAACAACAGCUACUCUCACAACAACCACAGCUGCUCCCACAACAACCACAGCUGUUCCAACAACAUCGCCACCUGCUCAGACAAAAACCCCAGAUGUUCCAACAACAACUACAGCUGCUCCCACAACCACCCCUGCUGCUCCCACAACAACCACAGAAUCUCCCACAACAUCCACAGUUGCUGCCACAACAACCACAGCUGUUCCCACAACAACGCCACCUGCUCUGACAAAAACUCCAGAUGUUCCAACAACAACCACAGCUGCUCAAACGACAAUCACAGCUGCUCCCAUAUCAACGACAGCUGCUCUCCCAACAACCGCAGCCUCACCCACAACAAACACAGCGGCUCCAACAAAAUCCCCAGCUGCUCCCACAACAACCAUAGCUGCUCCAACAACAACCACAGAAUCUCCCACAACAACCACAGUCGCUACUUCAAAAACCCCAGCUGCUCCAACAACAACCUCAGCUGCUCCCACAACAAUCACAGAAUCUCCCACAACAACCACAGCUGCUCCCACAACAACCACAGCUGCUCUCACAACAACCACAGCUGCUCCCACAACAACCACAGCUACUCCAACAACAACCACAGCCUAUCCCACAACAACCACAGCUGCUCCCACAACAACCACAGCUGCUCCUACAGCAACCACAGCUGCUCCAACAAAAACCACAUCAUCUACCACAAAAACCACAGAUGCACCCACAACAACAACAGCAUAUCCAACAACAACCACAACUAUUCCCACAACAACCACAGCUGCACCCACAACAACCACAGGUGCACCCACAACAACCAAAGGUGCACCCACAACAACCACAGCCAUCCCCACAACCCCAUAGCUUCUCCCACAGCAACCAUAGAAGCUCCAACGACAACUACAAUUGGGGCAACAACAACCACAGAUACUUCAAAAACAACCACAGCUGUUCCCACAACAACCACGGCUACUCCGACAACAACCCCAGAUGUACCAACCACAACCACAACUCUUCCAACAACAACCACAACUGCUCCAACAACAAACACAGAUACAUUCAAAACAACCACAGCUGCUCCCACAACAACCACAGCUGCUCUCACUACAACCGCAGCUAUUCCCACAACAACCACAGCUGCUCCAACAACAACCAGAGAUUUUCCCACAACAACCACAGCUGCUCCCACAACAACCACAGCUGCUUCCACAACAACACCAGCUGCUCCAACAACAACCUCAGCUGCUCCCACAACAACCACAGCUGCUCCAACAACAACCACAGCUGUUCCCACAACAACCAUAGCUGCUACAACAACCACAGAUACUCCAACAACAACCACUACUGCUCCCACAUCAACCACAGCUGCUCCCACAACAACCACAGAAUCUCCCACAACAACCACAGCUGCUCCCACAACAACCACAGCUGCUCCCACAACAACCACAGUUGAUCCCACAACAACCACAGCUGUUCCCACAACAACCACAGAAUCUCCCACAACAACCACAGUCGCUACUUCAAAAACCACAGCUGCUCCAACAACAACCAGAGCUGUUCCCACAACAACCACAGCUGUUCCCACAACAACCACAGCUGCUCCCACAACAACCACAGCUGCUCCCACAACAACCACAGCAGCUCCAACAACAACCACAGCUGUUCCCACAACAACCACAGCUGUUCCCACAACAACCACAGCUGUUCCCACAACAACCACAGCUGCUCCCACAACAAC
ensembl:lncRNA